rnacentral:rRNA from 1 species
CAGCCGCCACGGGAAUACGGAGGGUGCAAGCGUUAAUCGGAAUUACUGGGCGUAAAGCGCACGCAGGCGGUCUGUCAAGUCAGAUGUGAAAUCCCCGGGCUUAACCUGGGAACUGCAUUUGAAACUGGCUGGCUAGAGUCUUGUAGAGGGGGGUAGAAUUCCAGGUGUAGCGGUGAAAUGCGUAGAGAUCUGGAGGAAUACCGGUGGCGAAGGCGGCCCCCUGGACAAAGACUGACGCUCAGGUGCGAAAGCGUGGGGAGCAAACAGGAUUAGAUACCCGAGUAGUCCAUGUCUCUUAUAC